rnacentral:lncRNA from 1 species
CUGAAACAUAGCACAGGGUAAGCCACGGCCUGCCCAUGAGGCAGUGAGCCUACUUCACCCGGAGACCCCUGCCCUCAGCCUUCCUCUCCCCUCUACUGCUCAGGGGCUAUCCAGGUGGUGGUGGCUUCUCGGAGUCUCUGCUGGGGCAUGAACGUGGCUGCCCACCUGGUAAUCAUCAUGGAUACCCAGUACUACAAUGGCAAGAUCCACGCCUAUGUGGAUUACCCCAUCUAUGACGUGCUUCAGAUGGUGGGCCACGCCAACCGCCCUUUGCAGGACGAUGAGGGGCGCUGUGUCAUCAUGUGUCAGGGCUCCAAGAAGGUCAGUCCUAGACUCAUGGAGCCUCUUGGAUCCGUAGCCUCAGAAUGGAUUCUUUAAUCUUUCUUUUGAUAGAUGUCUUCAGUAACUUUAGUCUCUUAACUUCUGCCUCUCUUAUUUACACAAUUCUUUUGUGACGAGCCUGCCACCCACAUGGAAUUUUGCUGCCUUUUGCUUUUGCUGCUGCCGUUGGCUCCACGUGUUGAGGUCUUCACCCUCUACUUGGUUCUCUCCUUCCUCCUUGGGCUGCUCACUGCUCUGCCCUCG